UUCCUCACUUUUCUUAUGGAGUCUUGAGUUUUGUUUUACGUGCCUUAUGAACUCCUUGAAUUUUAUAAACAUGAGCUUCAUGAAUUUAUUAAUCUCACUUUGACAUUCUUCAUAUUUUGAUUCCCUAUCUUCGAUGUUAGUAGCUUUAAAAGAAAUACUUUUCCUUUUCUUCUUGUGGUCUUCUUCUUCAUCAUCAAGUAUUUU
rnacentral:lncRNA from 1 species